CUUGGUCAUUUAGAGGAAGUAAAAGUCGUAACAAGGUUUCCGUAGGUGAACCUGCGGAAGGAUCAUUACCGAGUUUUCGGGCUUCGGCUCGACUCUCCCACCCUUUGUGAACGUACCUCUGUUGCUUUGGCGGCUCCGGCCGCCAAAGGACCUCCAAACUCCAGUCAGUAAACGCAGACGUCUGAUAAACAAGUUAAUAAACUAAAACUUUCAACAACGGAUCUCUUGGUUCUGGCAUCGAUGAAGAACGCAGCGAAAUGCGAUAAGUAAUGUGAAUUGCAGAAUUCAGUGAAUCAUCGAAUCUUUGAACGCACAUUGCGCCCCUUGGUAUUCCGGGGGGCAUGCCUGUUCGAGCGUCAUUACAACCCUCAAGCUCUGCUUGGAAUUGGGCACCGUCCUCACUGCGGACGCGCCUCAAAGACCUCGGCGGUGGCUGUUCAGCCCUCAAGCGUAGUAGAAUACACCUCGCUUUGGAGUGGUUGGCGUCGCCCGCCGGACGAACCUUCUGAACUUUUCUCAAGGUUGACCUCGGAUCAGGUAGGGAUACCCGCUGAACUUAAGCAUAUCAAUAAGCGGAGGA
rnacentral:rRNA from 1 species